rnacentral:rRNA from 1 species
GAGGCAGCAGUGAGGAAUCUUGCACAAUGGGCGAAAGCCUGAUGCAGCGACGCCGCGUGGAGGAUGACGGUCUUCGGAUUGUAAACUCCUGUUAAACGGGAAGAAAGACUUGUUUCUAAUACAGACAAGUUAUGACGGUACCGUUAGAGAAAGCACCGGCUAACUUCGUGCCAGCAGCCGCGGUAAUACGAGGGGUGCAAGCGUUGUCCGGAAUUACUGGUUGUAAAGAGUCCGUAGGCGGGUAAAUAAGUCAUUGGUGAAAUCUCACAGCUCAACUGUGAAACUGCCUUUGAUACUGCUUAUCUUGAGUUCGGAAGAGAGAAGCGGAAUUCCAGGUGUAGUAGUGAAAUACGUAGAUAUCUGGAAGAACACCAGUGGCGAAGGCGGCUUCUUGGUCCGCAACUGACGCUGAGGCGCGAAAGCGUGGGGAGCAAACAGGAUUAGAUACCCCAGUAGUCCAAGCCG